rnacentral:lncRNA from 1 species
GUGCUCUGCUCAAUGAGGGGGAUCCACGAAUGAGUCUGGAUAGGUCAGGGGUCUGCAUGCUCCCAGUCGGAUUUCCGGGUCAGAGUGGAGAGGGCACAUAUAUGGGAGUGACUGGUGGGACCUUGAGGCGGGGGCUCGAAGAGCAUGGAAGCGAUAUUGAAGCUAGCAGAAUAGCAACUGCCUUGGCAGAACAAGCUUAUGCUAACCAUAUUGAUAAGCAGGUUGAAUGGGACCAGGUGGAAAUAAUGAAGACGAUUUAGUUGACGUCGCAAGCAGUAAUCCAAGAGACUGUUUAAAUUUGGAAGAGAGGAGGGGACCA